ACAAUUUGUCAAGCUUUGAAUGAUCGGAUUGAACCCUGUUUUCGAUAGACUUUUCGGUGGGUUUUACUGAUCUUUUGGGACGAGAGGAUGGGUCGUUUGUCGAGACAGACAGAGUAUUUUCGUCCGUUUCUGCGCUUGCUUUAUCAGGUUUAGUACUGUUUAUUUCGUUUUGACCCGUGUUUUCUACCGUAUUUUCAGCCGUAUUUUGCGAUAAAAACGUAUCUAGUGUUCCUACCUCGGGGUUGUCGACGGUGGUUUUAUCUGCCAUUGAGCUGUUCGUUGUAAAACAGUCGUGUUCUUCUGUAGUUGAAGCCGUUUUGUAGCGAUUUUCGAGCACGCUACAAAGAUAUCUUCGAAGUCAGUUCGUCUUUCUCGAUGUAUACACGCCGGAAAAGUGACUCUUUUUUUACUAUUCUGUUCCUUCGGGAAAGGCCUUGUCCCCUUCAACAGUAGUAUAACAGACGAAUAAGUUUAAACGAUGCUUUUAUUCGCUUUUUUUUGUAAAAAAAGAAUGCUCACUCAGGCGUGAGAACCGAGCCAGAGAAAAAACCGGUAAAACCCCCUGGCUCGCUAUUAAUGAGAUGCGAUUACGGAAAAAUAUCGCGAAACGAGUGAAUAAUAUUAAAGUCUAUCUAGAAAGUAUCUAGGGGCCAUAGUGGCCAGAACAUAAACAUUUAAAUCGUGAAUUGGCGUGAGAAUGUCCUUUGUUGAUUUACUUCGUUUUAAAAAUAAUUCGACGGAUUAUAUGUCGCAAAAAAUGUCGGAAAAAGUUCGGCGAAAAAAAUAAGCGAAAAUAUUUCGAAAAAAUCAGCUGAAAAAAAUCCCAAAAAAAUCCCAAAAAAAUCCCAGAAUCCCGAGAAAAAUUGCCGGGAUUUUCUAAUCCCAAAAAUCCUCGUACGCUUUUUUCAGAGUAAUUUACCCCUCGACAAAAUAUAUAUACAUGUCUUUGUUGUUACUAAAUAUAUUUGUACUUUUUAAAUUUAUUAUUUUGUUAAACUGGAAGGCAACCUUUAUAAUAAAACUUUCUGUAGAG